rnacentral:rRNA from 1 species
AGGAUGAACGCUGGCGGCGUGCUUAACACAUGCAAGUCGAACGAAGCGAUUUUAAUGAGACCCUCGGGUGGAUUUAAAAUUGACUUAGUGGCGGACGGGUGAGUAACGCGUGGGUAACCUGCCUUACACAGGGGGAUAACAGUUGGAAACGACUGCUAAUACCGCAUAUAAUACAUUUCGCGCAUGAGAGAUGUAUGAAAGUAUUUCGGUGUAAGAUGGGCCCGCGUCUGAUUAGCUAGUUGGUGAGGUAAUGGCUCACCAAGGCGACGACGGAUAGCGGGUGUGAGAGCAUGACCCGUCUCACUGGGACUGAGACACUGCCCAGACUCCUACGGGAGGCUGCAGUCAAGAAUAUUCCUCAAUGGCCGAAAGGCUGAAGGAGCGACGCCGCGUGUAUGAUGAAGCCCUUCGGGGUGUAAAAUACUUUUAACCGGGACGAAGUACUGACGGUACCGGUUGAAUAAGGGGCUGCUAACCUCGUG